UACGAAGGGGGCUAGCGUUGUUCGGAAUUACUGGGCGUAAAGCGCGCGCAGGCGGUCUUCCAAGUCAGUGGUGGAAGCCCGGAGCUCAACUCCGGAAUUGCCAUUGAAACUGUUAGACUUGAGGAUGAGAGAGGUGAGUGGAAUUCCCAGUGUAGAGGUGAAAUUCGUAGAUAUUGGGAAGAACACCGGUGGCGAAGGCGGCUCACUGGCUCAGUACUGACGCUCAGGCGCGAUAGCGUGGGGAGCAAACAGG
rnacentral:rRNA from 1 species